rnacentral:rRNA from 1 species
GCAUGUCGAACGAAGCACUUGUGCUUAGUGGCGAAUGGGUGAGUAACACGUACUUAAUCUGCCCUCAAGUUUGGGACAACAGUUGGAAACGACUGCUAAUACCGAAUAUGUACUACUAGCAUGGUAGUUUUAUAAAAGGAGCGUUUGCUUCGCUAGAGGAUGAGAGUGCGUCGCAUUAGUUAGUUGGUAGGGUAAAGGCCUACCAAGACGAUGAUGCGUAGCGGGGUCGAGAGGCUGAAC